rnacentral:rRNA from 1 species
ACGAACGCUGGCGGCAUGCCUAACACAUGCCAGUCGAACGCGACCUUCGGGUCUAGUGGCGCACGGGUGCGUAACGCGUGGGAAUCUGCCCUUGGGUUCGGAAUAACAGUGAGAAAUUACUGCUAAUACCGGAUGAUGUCUUCGGACCAAAGAUUUAUCGCCCAGGGAUGAGCCCGCGUAGGAUUAGCUAGUUGGUGGGGUAAUGGCCUACCAAGGCGACGAUCCUUAGCUGGUCUGAGAGGAUGAUCAGCCACACUGGGACUGAGACACGGCCCAGACUCCUACGGGAGGCAGCAGUGGGGAAUAUUGGACAAUGGGCGCAAGCCUGAUCCAGCAAUGCCGCGUGAGUGAUGAAGGCCUUAGGGUUGUAAAGCUCUUUUACCCGGGAUGAUAAUGACAGUACCGGGAGAAUAAGCUCCGGCUAACUCCGUG